rnacentral:rRNA from 1 species
UGGGGAAUUUUGGACAAUGGGCGAAAGCCUGAUCCAGCAAUGCCGCGUGUGUGAAGAAGGCCUUCGGGUUGUAAAGCACUUUUGUCCGGAAAGAAAUCCUUGGCUCUAAUACAGUCGGGGGAUGACGGUACCGGAAGAAUAAGCACCGGCUAACUACGUGCCAGCAGCCGCGGUAAUACGUAGGGUGCAAGCGUUAAUCGGAAUUACUGGGCGUAAAGCGUGCGCAGGCGGUUUGCUAAGACCGAUGUGAAAUCCCCGGGCUCAACCUGGGAACUGCAUUGGUGACUGGCAGGCUAGAGUAUGGCAGAGGGGGGUAGAAUUCCACGUGUAGCAGUGAAAUGCGUAGAGAUGUGGAGGAAUACCGAUGGCGAAGGCAGCCCCCUGGCAAGUACUGACGCUCAUGCACGAAAGCGUGGGGAGCAAACNGGAUUAAUNCCCUGGUAGUCCACGCCCUAAANGAUGUCAACUAGUUGUUGGGGGGUUCAUUUUCCUUAGUAACGUAGCUAACGCGUGAAGUUGACCGCCUGGGGGAGUACGGUCGCAAGAUUAAAACUCAAA